AGUGAACGCUGGCGGUAGGCCUAACACAUGCAAGUCGAACGGCAGCACAGUAAGAGCUUGCUCUUACGGGUGGCGAGUGGCGGACGGGUGAGGAAUACAUCGGAAUCUACUUUUUCGUGGGGGAUAACGUAGGGAAACUUACGCUAAUACCGCAUACGACCUACGGGUGAAAGCAGGGGAUCUUCGGACUUUGCGCGAUUGAAUGAGCCGAUGUCGGAUUAGCUAGUUGGCGGGGUAAAGGCCCACCAAGGCGACGAUCCGUAGCUGGUCUGAGAGGAUGAUCGGCCACACUGGAACUGAGACACGGUCCAGACUCCUACGGGAGGCAGCAGUGGGGAAUAUUGGGCAAUGGGCGCAAGCCUGAUCCAGCCAUACCGCGUGGGUGAAGAAGGCCUUCGGGUUGUAAAGCCCUUUUGUUGGGAAAGAAAAGCAGCAGGUUAAUACCCCGCUGUUCUGACGGUACCCAAAGAAUAAGCACCGGCUAACUUCGUG
rnacentral:rRNA from 1 species